ensembl:lncRNA novel transcript
AUUCAGGCUGAAUGCAUGGUAAUGAACAAGGACAUGGCAAUUCCACAGACAAUAGUUUGGGAAACCUUCACUGCUAGGCUGAGAAUUCUGACGUCUGCCUCUAGGCCAGCAAGGGCAUGCCGUGGCAGAAGCAGGUCAGCAGUGGGGCAUGGAGUAGGAAGAAAGCCGGAACUGCAAGCAUGCUCAGGAGCACUACUGAGGUCCUCUGAGCAGAAAGGCACCAGCUGACUUGAGACAAGGACAGUGGGUGGGAGGAAAGGAGGUGGGAGUAAAGCCACCAUGUGGACAGAUCCUGGGUUCCUGAGUUUCCAUUUAAUGGAGCACUGCCAAGAAGAAAAACCCAAAUAAAGACACUGCAAAUCAG